GAAGGCGUGGGACUGCGAGCACCGAACGCCAGGGUCCGAGUAGAGCUGCGCCCUGCCUUCCAGCAAACCUCUGGGUCUACUCAGGAAACCGACACUGUGAGGUGGCCAGGGUCCCAGACGGCGAGAUGGCUCGGCCCCGGCGCCACGCGGGUUUUCAUGCGGACCUUCAGCACCUCGCUAUUUGACCACCUCCGCUCCGCCCUCCAUCCCCAGCCGAGACCCCGCCCAGAAGGGACGACCCCUUCCCGGCCACUGGGUCCCCGCUUCGCUCCGGGACCUUUUGCGGACGCCCGGGCCCGGUCCAGCUGCACCUGGGCUGCUCCCGCCCCGGGCGCCACCCCUAGCACCGCCUAGAGAACUUUCCCGGGAGCCGCCGCGGCCUGGCGCGCCCAGGGCACACCCCACCAGCCCGCCGGCCGCGUUCCCAGCCGGGGCGCCCGCCCCUUCGCCCUCAAGUCCCCCGACUGCCAGCUUCUCUGAAUCUCUCGCAGAAGCAGCACUCUGCCGCCGGGGCAAGGGGUUCUCGGAGGGAAAGCUUCAACUUGGCCACACACAGAAACCCGUGAUGAACUCGGGGAUCCUCAGACGGGAUCCGCGCCCCGCGACGAGCUGACCUCUGCUCCGCGGGUCGUGGGUUGCGGGAGGGGCCGCGGUGCCCCCGCCUUCGGAGGAGCCCGAGCCUCAGGAUGCGCGGGGACGCGCCGCCGCCCUCCGCGCCCAGUUCCGCCGGCGCUGCCCGGGCGGCUCCCGGGCGCUGACUCUCCCGGGCUUCUCCGUGCUCCUUACCUCCUGCUAGCGCCCGGCCGCGGGUCUUCGCCGCCCUGGACCCCGCCGGCAACCGGUCCUCUCGUCCUCGCCGCGGCGCGGACAAUAAAUUAAUGCCUCGCCUCUGAGGGGAGGGGGCGGCUCGCGCUGGGUCGCAGCUUUCUCACCCGGCCGAGGCCGGCCACAGCCGACAUGGGCUGUUUCUGCGCUGUUCCGGAAGAAUUUUACUGCGAAGUUUUGCUUCUGAAUGAAUCCAAGUUAACCCUCACCACUCAGCAGCAGGGCAUCAAGAAGUCAACGAAAGGUUCCGUUGUCCUUGAGCACGUAUUUCGUCACAUAAACCUUGUGGAGAUAGAUUAUUUUGGGCUGCGUUACUGUGACAGAAACCAUCAGACGUAUUGGCUGGAUCCUGCAAAAACCCUGGCUGAACACAAAGAAUUGAUCAACACUGGACCUCCAUAUACUUUGUAUUUUGGUGUUAAAUUCUAUGCUGAAGAUCCAUGUAAACUUAAAGAAGAAAUAACCAGAUAUCAGUUUUUCUUGCAGGUGAAGCAAGACGUCCUUCAGGGCCGGCUGCCCUGCCCCGUCAAUACUGCUGCUCAGCUGGGAGCGUAUGCCAUCCAGUCUGAACUUGGAGAUUAUGAUCCAUAUAAGCAUACUGCGGGAUAUGUGUCAGAGUACCGGUUUGUUCCUGAUCAGAAGGAAGAGCUUGAGGAAGCUAUAGAAAGGAUACAUAAGACUCUAAUGGGUCAGGCUCCUUCUGAAGCGGAACUGAAUUACUUGCGGACUGCCAAAUCCCUGGAGAUGUAUGGUGUUGACCUCCAUCCCGUCUAUGGAGAAAACAAAUCUGAGUAUUUCUUAGGAUUAACUCCGGUUGGUGUUGUUGUCUACAAGAAUAAAAAGCAAGUGGGGAAGUAUUUCUGGCCUCGGAUUACAAAGGUGCACUUCAAGGAGACACAGUUUGAGCUCAGAGUCCUGGGGAAAGAUUGCAAUGAAACCUCAUUCUUUUUUGAAGCUCGAAGUAAAACUGCUUGCAAGCAUCUUUGGAAGUGCAGUGUAGAACAUCAUACAUUUUUUAGAAUGCCAGAAAAUGAAUCAAAUUCGUUGUCAAGAAAACUCAGCAAGUUUGGAUCCAUAAGUUAUAAGCACCGGUAUAGUGGCAGGACAGCAUUGCAGAUGAGUCGAGAUCUUUCUAUUCAGCUUCCCCGGCCAGAUCAGAAUGUGGCAAGAAGUCGAAGCAAGACUUAUCCUAAGAGAAUAGCACAAACACAGCCAGCUGGAUCAAACAGCAUAAAUCGGGUAACUGCGAACAUGGAAAAUGGAGAAAAUGAAGGAACAACUAAAAUCAUUGCACCUUCCCCAGUAAAAAGCUUUAAGAAAGCAAAGAAUGAAAACAGCCCAGAUACUCAGAGAAGCAAAUCUCAUGCUCCGUGGGAAGAAAAUGGCCCCCAGAGCGGACUCUACAACUCUCCCCAUGACCGCACAAAGUCACCCAAGUUCCCCUACGCACGCCGUCGGAACCCUUCCUGUGGGAGCGACAAUGACUCUGUGCAGCCCACGAGGAGGAGGAAAGCCCAUAACAGUGGUGAAGACUCUGAUCUAAAGCAAAGGAGGAGGUCACGCUCACGAUGUAACACAAGCAGUGGCAGUGAAUCAGAAAAUUCUAAUAGAGAACACCGAAAAAAGAGAAACAGAAUACGGCAGGAGAAUGAUAUGGUUGAUUCAGCGCCUCAGUGGGAAGCUGUAUUAAGGAGACAAAAGGAAAAAAGCCAGGCUGACCCCAACAACAGACGAUCCAGACACAGAUCUCGCUCGAGAAGUCCUGAUAUCCAAGCAAAAGAAGAGUUAUGGAAGCAUAUUCAAAAGGAACUUGUGGAUCCAUCUGGAUUGUCAGAAGAACAAUUAAAAGAGAUUCCAUACACUAAAAUAGAGACUCAAGGUGACCCCAUCCGCAUCAGGCAUUCUCAUUCACCUCGAAGUUACCGCCAGUAUCGCAGGUCCCAGUGUUCAGAUGGAGAGCGAUCUGUUCUCUCGGAAGUGAAUUCAAAAACGGAUCUUGUACCUCCGCUUCCUGUGACCCGUUCUUCAGAUGCUCAGGGUUCUGGUGGCUCCACAGUUCAUCAGAGAAGAAGUGGGUCUAAAGAUAGCCUGAUUGAAGAAAAAUCUCAGACAUCUACAAGCAACCUGACUGGAAAACACACAGCAAAAACAAUAAAAACUAUCCAAGCUUCACGCCUCAAGAUAGAGACUUGAUCCCAGUGAAGGGUUUGGGGUGUGAGGUGGGAAGGGUAUGUGUGCCACUUUUACUUUGAAACUGUGAAUUAUUCAAAUAUUUUGGACGUGCAGAAGUGUUUCUUCAGAAGAAAAUAAUGGAGUCUAUUCCAUUUUUUAAAGGUUUAACUACAGCAUAUUUGUGCCUAAAGGGCUUUUUUAUUUGGUAACUGGAAGGAUAGUAGUCUUGUAAAAACAUAUCCACUUGAUGCCAUGUUUUCCUUCCUGGAAACUGAGUAUUUUGUGUCUGCCACAGCCAAGACCAGAUGCUUCUGAUCAAAGUUCUGGAAUCCUGGAUUGCAUCUGGCUAGCUGCGCAGCAGUACACCAAGUGGGAUGAAAAGGUUCUUCUCAACUCUGGGUGGAUCUCUGCCUGUGCACAGAUACAUGACUGAGGCAUCACUUUCACACUGCAGAUAUUUUUAUUCUUAUGUUCUUUGUAAUACUGUAAUUUGUGGCAUUAAGUUCCACUGACUUAAAAUGUUAAAAAAAGUUUUGUUAAGUGCUGCUUUAAAUUUCUAGUGUCCUUGUCUUGUGCUUUAAAAAAAAAAAAAAAAAAAAAAAAAA